CUGCCAUGGCCAUCACCUGGGUUGGGGGUGGGUAGUGCCCAGGGCAGGGGAAACAUGCAUAGCAACUGAAAUAUUUUCGUCUUUCCCCAGAGAGGGCUCCAACCAGUGGUGGGAGCUUCUCAGAGGCUCCUAAUCAAUGCUUUUUCUUUUAAACAGUACACCAGCUAAUGAGAGGGUGGAGAAUCCCAUCCCAAUGGGCACUGGCUUCUUUCCAGCAAGCCUCGGAAUCACCUCAGUGCCCCUGGCCCAGGGGAUCCCAGGAAUCAAGUUCUGAUGGAUUCGAUGCUUCUCCUCCAUCAAAACCACUUCAAGAAUCAUUCCCUCCUGGAACCCUCCCCAGAGACGCUGUCUUCCUCUCCUCUAUCCGGACAUUUGCAGGAAGAAACAAGACCCGUCCACAUGACCCACGCACAAUUCAGUGGCCCUCCUCCCUCUGGGAGAUUGCAGACGUUGUGUCAACGAUGACCCAAUAAAUGAAUGUGUGCAGUUGGGUGUGGCAGAGACCAACAAUCUGACCAGCGCUCUUUCUGUGUGGAUGGUCUAGCCCUGUGUUGACAAAUACCUAAAUAAUCCAGCGCGAUUCCCUUCCAGACGUAUUUCUCUACAGUGACUGACUGCGCUCAGUGCUUAUAACUAGGCUUUUUCCCAUCUGUAACUCAUGUGAAUGUGGUCGCUGAUUUGAGCAUCAAAAGGGUCAAAGUCAUCGAGGGCUUUUGCAUAUGUAGAUGGAGAACAGGUGACUGGGGUAACCCGUUAUUUACCUGUAUUUAGAUGGGCAGUCUCCAGAUGUUUUUAAACAGGUGACUGGGGUAACCCGUUAUUUACCUGUAUUUAGAUGGGCAGUC